GGAGAGUUUGAUCCUGGCUCAGGAUGAACGCUAGCGGCAGGCCUAACACAUGCAAGUCGAGGGGCAUCACGAGGUAGCAAUACUUUGGUGGCGACCGGCGCACGGGUGCGUAACGCGUAUGUAACCUACCUAUAACAGGGGCAUAACACUGAGAAAUUGGUACUAAUUCCCCAUAAUAUUCGGAGAGGCAUCUCUCCGGGUUGAAAACUCCGGUGGUUAUAGAUGGACAUGCGUUGUAUUAGCUAGUUGGUGAGGUAACGGCUCACCAAGGCAACGAUACAUAGGGGGACUGAGAGGUUAACCCCCCACACUGGUACUGAGACACGGACCAGACUCCUACGGGAGGCAGCAGUGAGGAAUAUUGGUCAAUGGACGCAAGUCUGAACCAGCCAUGCCGCGUGCAGGAAGACGGCUCUAUGAGUUGUAAACUGCUUUUGUACGAGGGUAAACUCACCUACGUGUAGGUGACUGAAAGUAUCGUACGAAUAAGGAUCGGCUAACUCCGUGCCAGCAGCCGCGGUAAUACGGAGGAUUCAAGCGUUAUCCGGAUUUAUUGGGUUUAAAGGGUGCGUAGGCGGUUUGAUAAGUUAGAGGUGAAAUCCCGGGGCUUAACUCCGGAACUGCCUCUAAUACUGUUAGACUAGAGAGUAGUUGCGGUAGGCGGAAUGUAUGGUGUAGCGGUGAAAUGCUUAGAGAUCAUACAGAACACCGAUUGCGAAGGCAGCUUACCAAACUAUAUCUGACGUUGAGGCACGAAAGCGUGGGGAGCAAACAGGAUUAGAUACCCUGGUAGUCCACGCAGUAAACGAUGAUAACUCGUUGUCGGCGAUACACAGUCGGUGACUAAGCGAAAGCGAUAAGUUAUCCACCUGGGGAGUACGUUCGCAAGAAUGAAACUCAAAGGAAUUGACGGGGGCCCGCACAAGCGGAGGAACAUGUGGUUUAAUUCGAUGAUACGCGAGGAACCUUACCCGGGCUUGAAAGUUACUGACGAUUCUGGAAACAGGAUUUCCCUUCGGGGCAGGAAACUAGGUGCUGCAUGGUUGUCGUCAGCUCGUGCCGUGAGGUGUCGGGUUAAGUCCCAUAACGAGCGCAACCCCUACCGUUAGUUGCCAUCAGGUCAAGCUGGGCACUCUGGCGGGACUGCCGGUGUAAGCCGAGAGGAAGGUGGGGAUGACGUCAAAUCAGCACGGCCCUUACGUCCGGGGCUACACA
rnacentral:rRNA from 1 species